UUCUUCUUCCUCUGAGCUGCUCUCCACAUCACUGCGAUCGUCCUUCGACACCUGCGUGGGACGGGGCCAGAAGUACGAAAGGGAUAAGCCAGGAACCUGACCUCAGGCAUGACAGUAUUCAGUUUUCUGCAGAGCAUCAACACCCACUGCACAGAAAGGGUUGGGGAAAGAAGUUUCCCCAGCAAGAGGAGGGGCACAUAAGGCUUCUGACCAUCUGGAGCUAAUGAAGAGGUGGCUUCUUAGACAAGGGCAGGGCCACGUGAGUAUCUUUUUCAAUCUUGCCCUGCUGGAUCUGCAAACCUGAUUUAAUUCUGUGAUUUACAAUUCAAUAACGCCCAACAGAAUACCUUUAGAGAUGCAAUGGAAUGGGCAGUUUCCCUCACAGCCCAGUCAGCAGCUAUGUCCAUUCUUCCCAAAGCCUUUCUAACCCGUCUGGAAGACCCACUGAUACUGGGUCACAAUGCAGUCACUUGACAUGGAUCUGGGAGGAAGGCAGCAGGCCUGUCAGGGAGAGGAAAAAAGUUCUUCCUCCAUUUAGGGGAAAUGGGGGAAAACAA